ensembl:lncRNA
GCCAGUUAGUCUAUGAUGGACUACGCUUCAAUCUACUGGCUCAAAGCAGUAAGUCAUACACUCAAACGCAGAAUGCGGAAACCAGAACAGGUUUGAGAAGCACUGCUUUAUGGGAUAAUCUACUAAUGUGGUUGCUUCACGUGUGUGUCAGAGCUGAGUGAGCCUUUGGACAGAUGUUUGUCUCUAUGGCGGAGUCUGCUCAAGGGGUCUGUGCCUGCAGUUAGAGACCCUAAACUCACUGCUUCUUCCAUGACACUGAUGGCUGCCCUCUACACACUUAUGGGCAAACACCUGCAAGCUCUGGAGGGAUAUCAGCUCGCUGCUGCUCUUUUCCACAGCCUCGGUGAUGCCCAGAAUAGUGCGAAUGCCUUUUGCCACUCCGCCAGGAUCCUGCUGUAUCUGGGCUCUCCUACGCUUGCACAGGUGGAGUUAGAAAAAGCAGAACAGAGUUUGACCUCUGUCCCGAGCUCUGAGGGCACAUCUAUUAUAUCCAUGCUUGCUAUGCUGCAAAAAGCACAGAUACACUAUGCUUUAGGACAGGUAAUAUUUGUUCAUUUAACUAUUUAUGGACCAGUGAGUC